UCAGUACUCCCUCCGUCCGGAAUUACUUGUUGCGGAAAUGGAUAAAGAUGGAUGUAUCUAGAACUGAAAUACGCCUAGAUACAACCAUUUCUCCGACAAGUAAGGACGGAGGGAGUAGUAU
rfam:Triticum aestivum genome assembly, contig: Triticum_aestivum_CS42_TGACv1_scaffold_435569_5DL